GAUGAACGCUGGCGGCGUGCCUAAUACAUGCAAGUCGAGCGAACGGACGAGAAGCUUGCUUCUCUGAUGUUAGCGGCGGACGGGUGAGUAACACGUGGAUAACCUACCUAUAAGACUGGGAUAACUUCGGGAAACCGGAGCUAAUACCGGAUAAUAUUUUGAACCGCAUGGUUCAAAAGUGAAAGACGGUCUUGCUGUCACUUAUAGAUGGAUCCGCGCUGCAUUAGCUAGUUGGUAAGGUAACGGCUUACCAAGGCAACGAUGCAUAGCCGACCUGAGAGGGUGAUCGGCCACACUGGAACUGAGACACGGUCCAGACUCCUACGGGAGGCAGCAGUAGGGAAUCUUCCGCAAUGGGCGAAAGCCUGACGGAGCAACGCCGCGUGAGUGAUGAAGGUCUUCGGAUCGUAAAACUCUGUUAUUAGGGAAGAACAUAUGUGUAAGUAACUGUGCACAUCUUGACGGUACCUAAUCAGAAAGCCACGGCUAACUACGUGCCAGCAGCCGCGGUAAUACGUAGGUGGCAAGCGUUAUCCCGGAUUAUUGGGCGUAAAGCGCGCGUAGGCGGUUUUUUAGUCUGAUGUGAAAGCCCACGGCUCAACCGUGGAGGGUCAUUGGAAACUGGAAAACUUGAGUGCAGAAGAGGAAAGUGGAAUUUCCAUGUGUAGCGGUGAAAUGCGCAGAGAUAUGGAGGAACACCAGUGGCGAAGGCGACUUUCUGGUCUGUAACUGACGCUGAUGUGCGAAAGCGUGGGGAUCAAACAGGAUUAGAUACCCUGGUAGUCCACGCCGUAAACGAUGAGUGCUAAGUGUUAGGGGGUUUCCGCCCCUUAGUGCUGCAGCUAACGCAUUAAGCACUCCGCCUGGGGAGUACGACCGCAAGGUUGAAACUCAAAGGAAUUGACGGGGACCCGCACAAGCGGUGGAGCAUGUGGUUUAAUUCGAAGCAACGCGAAGAACCUUACCAAAUCUUGACAUCCUUUGACAACUCUAGAGAUAGAGCCUUCCCCUUCGGGGGACAAAGUGACAGGUGGUGCAUGGUUGUCGUCAGCUCGUGUCGUGAGAUGUUGGGUUAAGUCCCGCAACGAGCGCAACCCUUAAGCUUAGUUGCCAUCAUUAAGUUGGGCACUCUAAGUUGACUGCCGGUGACAAACCGGAGGAAGGUGGGGAUGACGUCAAAUCAUCAUGCCCCUUAUGAUUUGGGCUACACACGUGCUACAAUGGACAAUACAAAGGGCAGCGAAACCGCGAGGUCAAGCAAAUCCCAUAAAGUUGUUCUCAGUUCGGAUUGUAGUCUGCAACUCGACUACAUGAAGCUGGAAUCGCUAGUAAUCGUAGAUCAGCAUGCUACGGUGAAUACGUUCCCGGGUCU
rnacentral:rRNA from 1 species